GCCUGGGUAGCUCAGUUGGUAGAGCAACGCAUUCGUAAUGCGUAGGUCAGGAGUUCGAAUCUCCUCUCAGGCUCCA
rnacentral:tRNA from 2 species